CCUACGGGAGGCAGCAGUAGGGAAUCUUCCACAAUGGACGAAAGUCUGAUGGAGCAACGCCGCGUGAGUGAAGAAGGUUUUCGGAUCGUAAAACUCUGUUGUUGGAGAAGAACGUAUUUGAUAGUAACUGAUCAGGUAGUGACGGUAUCCAACCAGAAAGCCACGCU
rnacentral:rRNA from 1 species